rnacentral:misc_RNA from 1 species
CAAAAUACAGGCAGCUACAGCUGAAUUAACUAAGCAUCAAGAAAAUCCAUUUAGCCUAGCAUAUCAAAAGAGAGAUGCUAGACACAAGUGAAGUACAAAUUAUAAUUAUACCAAACAAUUUAUGGGACCAAUUUUAACAUCGUAUGUACAAGGGACCAAGCAACAUGUUCUUCCAUCAAUUUCCUUUCUUUUUUUGGGUCCAAGGGAAAAAGAGAAUGGAAGACAACAGCUGAGAGUCCUUCCAAAAAUAAACUCCAAAACAAAUAUUUCCAACUAAAAGUUAAGGCUCCUUCCUAUUAAGAUUUGACGCUUGCCAUGUCCAAAUUAUCAGAGACUUCAUCCUGUCCCCAUCAGAAGCUACUCAUAUGAAAGAGUGAUAAAACAUUACUGUCCAAGAUUUCCAAGAAGUCUCUCUACUGCGGCAUGAACAUUGCCUGCAGUAGCAACCAAUGCUCUGAUAUUUUCUUGAGUAUCAAAGAAACCCAUAUCUUGCAACUGUGCUAGCUGAGUCGCAUAUAAUUCCUCCGGAGGCACAUUGGAUCUGUUGGGGACACCACCCAAACCCCCUGACCCAAGUCCACCAAACAUAUUCAUCAGCAUUUCCAUUCCCAUGUUGUUGUCAGGGGCUGCACCUCCCACAUUCUGACCCGGUUGGUUCGUUGGUUGUCGACCAAGUUGAGACAAAAGCCCUUGCUGCAAAGUCAUAAGUUGCUGCAUUGUCUCGGGGGAAGUCAUCUGCCGAAU